AGUUUAACCAAGUAUACUAAACAAUUGAUUUUUUAUUAAAUACAUGUUAUAAUUCUUUUAUAUGCCUUUAUCCUUUUAAAGAUAAGUUUUUGUUCGGUUAAAAGAAUUGAUAUUUUCUCUCUCUCCACAUUGUUUAAAACAUUAGCAUUUUUUUAAAUGGAACAAUAUAAAUAUAGAACACCAAUAAAGUUCAAUAAAUUAAUCAGAUUCAUAUUGAUGGACAAAGAAACAGCCUAGUUACUAUUGAUGCAAGCAGGUAGCCAUGCUAAUUCUAACUGUAGACAUUCUUUGAUUGUGGAAUCUUGGCAUUUAAGAUGAGAUUAACCUGUUAUAUGCUGUUAAUGUCAUAUGAUCAUCAAAAUCGUUUAUAGCCAGUGGUUAUGGACGUGAUAUGAUGGGAAUGCCAGGAACAAAUUGUGGAAUUAAAAUUAAGCUGGAUCUAAUCAUUUUACUGGAAUUGAUUUUAUUUUUAGUAAGAAACAUAGUCUCUAAUGUUAAAUUUUGCAAGAAUACAUUUAGAAACUAUUUUAUUUUUAUUCAAAUUUCUUUGAUUGGAUAUUUUUCAUAAAAUAAAGAUUUUUUUCCUCCCUUCACUAUAUUUUAGAUCAUGGAUCCCUAAACUUUUUUGGAAGAGAUCUGCAUAGACAAUUUCCUAAUGAGACAGAAUAGAGUAAAAUUGAGGAUUUUUAUAAUUAGAUGAGAAUUCAUUUUCUAAAACAUUGUGAACAAUUAAUCCUAGUUCCCAAAUUCAUUUUCACUGUCUUUUUAUAAAAAAAAAAUAAAAUAUCUUAUGUCAUAUCUAUUUAAAUGUAGAUGUUUGUUGUUUUACUCUAGACAUGUGGUAUUGAUUGUAAUGGACAAACUAUCUGGGAUUGAACCCCUGGGAAACUAUCUGGGAUCUAGAAAAAUAAAGAUUAUAAUAACUGUUUAUGUAUGCGAGGAGACAGUUUUUGUAUAUCUGUUAGGAUUUUUUGAGAUAAAUUUGAAAAAUUUACCCGGCAUAGUGUAUUUAGUCUGAGGGAUGUCAUGCUACCUAUUAUGCUAUAUAAAAAUUUUCUAGGGCAUGCAAAAAUUCUGUACCUUCUGGAUUUUCAAAUUGGAUUCAAUUGCAAUAAGCAUAUUUUGCAUUGCAUUUA
rnacentral:lncRNA from 1 species